AGAGGCCUCUCUCUUAAUGAAAAAGAACUUUCUCGGCAUCCGCCAGGCUCAGCCGUUCACCCGCACAUCAGGCUUCGAUAAUGGAGACCGCCUGGCUCUCCUGAACUCAGGGCAGAGCCGCUGCUAAGCUGGUGUUGGUGUGUGCUGCAGCUUUUAGGCCCAGACACAGAUGUCCAUUCUCACAGCCCUGUGAGCACAGGUCUGUCUGGUGAAAGCGGGGAAAGGCCCUUCCCCUCCACACCUGGGAGUCUCCAGGAGAGGGAAGCUUCUGUGACCGUUUCCUGGUCAGGUUGGGCUGCCCCAGAAGGCAAGUGUCAACAGUACUGGCAUUUCCAGCACGUGACAAUGCACAGAUGGUUUUCCAAGCGCUUUCACUGACUCCGCUGAGCCCUCCCGGCAGCCCCAGGAAGUAGGCGGAAUCAGACUGUUAGUUCUGAGACGACACAGCUGGAGCUCAGACGAUGGUUAAAGGGCCCCAGUUCCACCAGCUAAUAGGAGGUGGUGCAGGUGCGAGAGAAGGCGCUGGGAUGACUGUCCUGCUGAAGAAGCAACUGGGUUUGGACGCCAUGGAGUCAGGACCCCGUCACAGUUCCAUCCCUAGGUGUCCGGGUGAUGUGGACGUGGCCCUUUCAUCCAAGCCUCGACUGUGGGAUACACAAGCUAAGGAAGCUGGAUGCCAAGGGGCCCUGGGGCAGAAAGAUCAUCAUCAGCCUCCGAGCAGGUACUGACGCAAGAUAAAGCCACCAGCAAGCCAAAGAUACCAAGAAGCAAAAACCAAGUCUUUUUAGAGGAAGCUGUUCUGCAGAAGAAUCCAGAGAUGUGCAGAUAAGUGGAGGCCAGAAACCAGAAACCACAAAGUCCAAAAACAGAUGAAAAAGCCUGAUGACUUCCCAGAUCCCAUGGCUCCAACUCCUACACUUGAGGUGCCUGAAAUUCCCCUGGAUCCUGCCCAAAAAGCCCUUCUUUAAAUGGAACUAGCCUGCUUUUCUGUUCACUGCAACGA